AUGCAAUAUGCUGAACUUCCUUUUAAAACCUUGAGACCUAUUCACCAGUCUUGGGGUAAAAGGGAAAUUGUGUCAGCAGCAACCAAACUGCCAGAAGGAGCAGCUCAAAUGUUUCCCAAUAUCCAGUCAACACCUGGCAAGCAUCUACUGGUUGGAAGAGUUGGAAGUGCGCCCACUAGGAAUAGAUGUGAAAAAUGGAUAAGCCCCUUCCAGUCUGAAGGGUGUCAGAAAGCACAGCGGCAGCUGCCCUCCAAGGGAGACAGUGGGUGCUGCUGGGAAGGAAAGGAGGACCUGCUCACUGCAGCUACUGCCUCAGGCUGUUCAGCACCCCCUGGGAGCUUGCCACUCCUCCCACAGCACCCUGCUGAGAAUCAGCCUUCUAGGAGCACCGUGAAUGAUUUCAGGCCACAAACUGAUCUUCCUGAAGUGAAAGUCAAUCCAGUAAAAGGAGAUUACUUGGAGUUUAUUGAAGACCAGUGUCUCAUUGUUGGAAUUCCGGUACUCAUUGUUUCGGUCUAUGGUCAUACUGCCUGA
rnacentral:lncRNA from 1 species